GGCUCGGUAGCUCAGUUGGUUAGAACUGUCGCAUGGUUUGCGAAAGUCCCGGGUUCGAAUCCCGGUCGAGCCU
rfam:Lingula anatina scaffold181, whole genome shotgun sequence.